GACAAGGUCUCUGCGAUCGUGGACAAUGUCUCUGAUCGUGGACGAUGUCUCCCUCAUCCUCAACAAUGUCUCUCCGACCAUGGACCAUGUCUCUGCGAUCGUGGACAAUGUCUCUGAUCGUGGACGAUGUCUCCCUCAUCCUCAACAAUGUCUCUCCGACCAUGGACCAUGUCUCUGCGAUCGUGGACAAUGUCUCUGAUCGUGGACGAUGUCUCCCUCAUCCUCAACAAUGUCUCUCCGACCAUGGACCAUGUCUCUGCGAUCGUGGACAAUGUCUCUGAUCGUGGACGAUGUCUCCCUCAUCCUCAACAAUGUCUCUCCGACCAUGGACCAUGUCUCUGCGAUCGUGGACAAUGUCUCUGAUCGUGGACGAUGUCUCCCUCAUCCUCAACAAUGUCUCUCCGACCAUGGACCAUGUCUCGGCGAU